AUGCUCGGCCACAGAAAGUGCCAAAUUCCGCGUCCCGUCUGAUCCGCGAAGACAAGUUACUUAUCGCUUGGCUAAUAGUAGGGUGGGGGACCACCUGGGAAUCCCAGAUGCCGAGCUUU
rfam:Cryptococcus amylolentus CBS 6039 supercont1.11, whole genome shotgun sequence.